rnacentral:rRNA from 1 species
UACAGAGGUCCCAAGCGUUGUUCGGAUUCACUGGGCGUAAAGGGUGCGUAGGUGGCCAGGUAAGUUCGGUGUGAAAGCUCGGAGCUCAACUCCGAAAUGUCAUUGAAUACUAUCUGGCUGGAGGGUCGGAGGGGAGACUGGAAUUCUCGGUGUAGCAGUGAAAUGCGUAGAUAUCGAGAGGAACACUAGUGGCGAAGGCGAGUCUCUGGACGACUCCUGACACUGAGGCACGAAAGCUAGGGGAGCAAACAGG